rnacentral:rRNA from 1 species
UACGUAGGGCGCAAGCGUUAUCCGGAAUUAUUGGGCGUAAAGAGCUCGUAGGCGGUUUGUCGCGUCUGCCGUGAAAGUCCGGGGCUCAACUCCGGAUCUGCGGUGGGUACGGGCAGACUAGAGUGCAGUAGGGGAGACUGGAAUUCCUGGUGUAGCGGUGAAAUGCGCAGAUAUCAGGAGGAACACCGGUGGCGAAGGCGGGUCUCUGGGCAACAACUGACGCUGAGACGCGAAAGCGUGGGGAGCAAACAGG